rnacentral:rRNA from 1 species
UAGGGAAUCUUCGGCAAUGGACGGAAGUCUGACCGAGCAACGCCGCGUGAGUGAAGAAGGUUUUCGGAUCGUAAAGCUCUGUUGUUAGAGAAGAACGGUGGUAGGAGUGGAAAAUCUACCAAGUGACGGUAACUAACCAGAAAGGGACGGCUAACUACGGGCCAGCAGCCGCGGUAAUACGUAGGUCCCGAGCGUUGUCCGGAUUUAUUGGGCGUAAAGCGAGCGCAGGCGGUUCUUUAAGUCUGAAGUUAAAGGCAGUGGCUUAACCAUUGUACGCUUUGGAAACUGGAGGACUUGAGUGCAGAAGGGGAGAGUGGAAUUCCAUGUGUAGCGGUGAAAUGCGUAGAUAUAUGGAGGAACACCGGUGGCGAAAGCGGCUCUCUGGUCUGUAACUGACGCUGAGGCUCGAAAGCGUGGGGAGCAAACAGG